ACCUGGUUCAAGUCCUCCCGCUACCCAUUAUAGUUUAAUAGCUUGCCUCAUCCAGUUGAGGGCCUGAAUGCUGAUUUCAAAGUAUGUGUGUAGUUUUUGCACUUGAUGAAUAAUAUAUUGUAAGUAUAUAUAUCAUCAAGGCUUUUGCUGGCAGAUGAUAUUUUUUAAAGGGCUUAUUGGCAUUUUGUUGUUUACUUUUGUGAAAAAGGAAGUUUCCUGUAUUUAUCCACCCCCUCACUUUUUAUAUGUGGAACCUUCAAAUGAUGAAGACCCACAUCAUUGUUGCUGUUGGUAACAAAACGUCAAUAGGUUACUCAUCUGCUUUAGUGUUUCCCCUGCAUUUCAAAUCUUACAACUCAGUUUGCAUCUUACUCCAUCUUUUUAGUAUCCAAACAGGUGGGUAGCGCAACUGCUGUUUUUCAGACAGGCAUAUGCUCAGCUAGGCAUUUUUUUGGUUCUCUUGGCUUCCUCUGUUCUUGUUAUCACAUGGCUCAAAUUAAGAACUAUUACAUUGUUGAUGGAAGUAGCUUUGCUAGUCAAUGUAAUAGUGGAUAUUUGCUCAAUAUCCAAUAUUUAACCAAACGAAUAUCUUACUCAUCAAGGGGCCCAGUGCUGCGAUCCAAAAUGCAUGAAUUUGUUGGGGAAGAGAAGAAUGAUGAUCCUUAGGUGCAGUGUUCUCUACAACUGGAAAAGGCAUCAGACAAAAAGGGGUGGUUUGAUAUUCACAGCGGUGAUAUAGCCAAGCUUGGGCUGAGCUAUAUGACAACGUCAGUUUUCGCGCAUCAUGUUUGCCACAUUUCUUGAUCAAAAGUGAUAUGUAGAACUGUGGGUGCCAGCGUGAAUGAAAAGUCCCACAGAAAUAGAGAUAACCAAAAUUGGUAGCCCUUGGUUUUAAUGAUAAUAGAGUAUAGUAAAUAUUUAUAAUGGUGAUGUUUUGUGUAUUAUAUAAAAAUUAGCUCAGCUUGUACUUGAUAUGACUUCCAUAAUGCACCACCUAGUGUAAAAAUAUAUAUCAUGCAUGGUUGAAUUGACGCUUGAUCGAUA